CUCCAGGGCAACCGUGGCUUUCGAUUGUUACUGUGGGAACUGGAGGUAACAGUCUACAGCCAUGGUCGCCCCGCAGCA
ncrna:Macaca mulatta (Rhesus monkey) microRNA mml-mir-132 precursor